CAGGCGUGAGCCACCGCACCCGGCCGGAGAGAGAAAAUUUAAAAGACGUAGUUUCAUUAUUUCUUUUAUUUUUGCCCUUUAUCUAGUUUUACUUAUGAACAUUUUUACCACAAAUUUCUCUCUCUCUAAAUCUGUAAAUAUGCUGCUAUUAUUGUUAUUUCAGAGCCUGUGAGGGUAAGUUGCAGACAGCAUGACCCUCUACCUCCAGAUGUGUCAGGGUGUGUCUCCUGGGCACAAGAACAGGGUUUUUGUUUUGUUUUGUUUCACAUAAGCAAAGUACAAGUCUCAAAGAGGAUAAUAUUUUUAAAUCAUCUUAUUGGGACAUACUUUGCAUGCAAUAAACUGCAUCUAUUUAAAAUGUUCAACUUGUUGAAUUUUAGCUGUUGUACACACCCACAUCUCCACUACCACAGUGAAGAUAAAGAAGAUUUUAAUCGUCUCCCAAAGAACAGCUACACGAUAAAAUUCUAUGUUGUCAUUAAAAAGAGUAAGAGCAAUUUUAAGUAUUGCUAUGAAAAGAUGUGCCCAGCAUACUUUUAACCUUUUUUAAAAGGUUAAGGAGGCUGGGCACAGUGGCUCAUACCUGUAAUCCCAGAACUUUGGGAGGCUAUGGCAGGCAGAUAACCUGAGGUCAGAAGUUCAAGAUCAGCCUGGCCAACAUGGUGAAACCCUGUCUCUACUGAAAAUGCAAAAAUUAGCCGGGCGUGGUGGUGGGUGCCUGUAGUUCCAGCUGUUUGGGAGGCUGAGGCAGGAGAAUCGCUUGAAUCUGGGAGGUAGAGGUUAGAGUGAGCCGAGAUCAUGCCACUGCAUUCCAGCCUGGGCGAAAAUGCCACUAAUAUCACUUACAUAAUAUUAAUAUAUAUUUGAAGUAGGGGAAAACCUGGAAGAUUCCUCACCAAAGUUUUGACAGUGACUCCAGAGACUGGGAUAACUUUGUGACUUUCAUUUCCUCUUAAAUGUUGUGCCAGGGUCUGACCGGCAGACCCAGGCUGCACGAUGGAUGAAUAAUGUACUCAGACACCGAUAUUCAGUGAAAGAGUGCACCAGAGGGCCAGGCCACUCACAGAAAGGGUUGUGGCAGCUGCGUGCCCUGACUAUCUGGCCCUGUGGGCCUUUAUUCAGCACAGAUUUAAUGACAAAGGCUUUGAGUCAACACACCUGUGGGUAAUUAAUCUGGUCGCAGUCCCCCGGAGAGAGCAGUCCUACAAAUGAUCAAAGGAGCUGGGACAGUUAUAUUCAUCAGAACAGCACGGUGUCAAGGCCCUCACCCCCAGAAAGCUUAGGAGACACUGUUUUAUGGAGGAGAGUGAGAUUGGAGGAAGCCCUGACUCCAGGUCUCCUGAUCCUUCCUACACAAAGCGAAGCUGAAAAAAAGUGCAGGACACUCCAUUUCCUCCUGGGACCAGACAGGGAAGCCAGAGCCACCAUGGAUGUCAAAUUCCGGCAAGGAAACACCAGUAUAGCAAAAUCUCCACAUCACAUUUUAAAGCUCACACAAUGGCUCAAAGAGAACCCACAUCAAAAAACCGAAUUCCUAGCUCAGGUGAGAUCACCAAAGUUGCCUGUGAGGCUUCGUGGAACCUGCAGGUAGAAAGGACAUCUUUAUUUCGAGCUGCAGCCCAGUUGCUUCUGCGUCUUGGAGCCCCUUGAAAGGACCCUCUCCCUUCAACAGUACAUAGGGAGGCCAUUUCUGGGGAGAAAUGUAGACUGUCCUUAGACUCCUGAGGUUUUUACACUUGCUUGCUGACUCUGUGGACUUUGACUUCAUCAUUAAACAUCUUAUAAUGAUGUAAUUUGCUUUGACUGUAAGUGUAGAACAGGACGCUGUUCCUGAAUCAGGAAACAAGGGACUGGUGACCUGAACUGCCACCACCCUCCCUGGUGCUCAGAUGCAAUGAAAUCGUGAGGCAACAAAUCUAUGGCUAGGUAAAGGGUCAACUCCAUUUCAGCAAAUGUUUCAGAUGUUCCUUCCUGCCUAGUAAUGUUCCAGCUUUACCCCAGCCUUAAUCUUUUAAAAUGUAUAUUUUCCUUAGCGUUGAUUUUAAAGUAAUUCGUAUGUAUUUAUUACACUGGGUUUGUUGCAGUAAGCCACCUCGAAUGUUGCUGUAGAAUUAAAGUAAGCAAAUAAAUGUGUGGUUCUCCAAGGA
rnacentral:lncRNA from 1 species